rnacentral:rRNA from 1 species
GACGAACGCUGGCGGCGUGCUUAACACAUGCAAGUCGAACGGGCCUGUCUUCUUUUUUGGGGGGUGGGUUGAGUGGCGAACGGGUGAGUAUCACGUGAGUAACCUGCCCUUCGGUCCUGGAUAACCGCUUGAAAGGGCGGCUAAUACGGGGUGGUCCGGUUGGUCCGCAUGGGCUGGUCGGGAUAGAUUCACUGUUUUUGGUGUUUCGGCGGGGGAUGGGCUCGCGGCCUAUCAGCUUGUUGGUGGGGUGAUGGCCUACCAAGGCGGGGACAGGUAGCCGGCCUGAGGGGGUGGGCGGCCACACUGGGACUGAGAUACGGCCCAGACUCCUGCGGGAGGCAGCAGUGGGGGGGAUUGCACAAUGGGCGGAAGCCUGAUGCAGCGACGUCGCGUGAGGGAUGGAGGCCUUCGGGUUGUGAACCUCUGUUUCCGGUGGUGAAGGCCCUGUCCGUGUGGUGGGGUUGACGGUAGCCGGGGAUGAAGCGCCGGCUAACUACGUG